CUUUUUAAAAACAUUUUUUUAUUGAAGUAUAGUUGAUUUACAGUGUUAAUUUCUGCUGUCCAGCAAAGUGAUUCAGUUUUACAUAUGUAUAUUCUUUAUAUAUACACUCUUUUUCAUAUUCUUGUCCAUUAUGGUUCAUCACAGAAUGCCGAAUAUAGUUCCCUGUGCUCUAGAGUAGGACUCUGUUGUUUAUCUCUGCUAUAUAUAAUAGUUGGCAUCUGCUAAUCCCAAACCCCCACUCCUUCCCUCCUCCACCCUCGUCCCCCUUGACAACUACAAGUCUUCAUGUCUGUGAGUCUUUCUGCUUUGUAGACAGGUUCAUUUGUAUCACGUCUUAGAUUCCACCUAUAAGUGAUAUCAUAUACGGGUCUUUCUCUGUCUGACUUACUUCAAUUAGCGUGAUAAAAUCUAGGUCCACCCAUGUUGCUGCAAACGGCAUUUUUUCUUUCUAAAAGAUCCUUUUACUGACUCUUAUAGGAGAGAGAAAUGAUAGGAACUCUGUCAACAUAUGGUUUCACUCUGUGAAGGUGGGCAGAACAUUUGGCAUGUUAUUCUUAGCCCUAUCUUGCAGGAAGUCUCUGAACAAAAGAAACCAACGACUCUGCCCAGAAAACUAAACUUAAAAAAAAAAAAAAUUGAACUUUUUUAAAAGGUUGAUCAAAGUGAAGAUAAUUGAGGGGAUUUAGAAACAUGAUGCUUCUGGAAAGUUCGGGGGUUAGGAAAGAAUAGGAAAUGUGGCAACUUAGGGAUGGAAAGAACCAGCUUAGGGGUUUAGGACUUAGGAGUUCCUAUCAUGGCGCAGUGGAAAUGAAUCCAACUAGUAUCCAUGAGAACUCAGGUUCGAUCCUUGGCCUUGCUCAGUGGCACUGCCAUGAACUCUAGUAGGUCGCAGACACAGCUCGGAUCUGGUGUUGCUGUGGCUGUGGCCUAGGCUGGCAGCUGUAGCUCCCAUUUGACCCCUAGCCUGGGAACUUCCAUAUGCUGCAGGCUAGGGGUCCAAUCAGAGUUACAACUGCCAGACUACACCACAGCCACAGCCACAUCAGAUCUGAGCUGCAACUGCGACCUACAUCACAGCUCACGGCAACGCCGGAUCCUCAAUCCACUGAGCGAGGCCAGGGAUCGAACCCGAAACCUCACGGUUCCUAGUCAGAUUCAUUUCUGCUGCGCCACGAUGGGAGCUCCGCCUUUGGUUUUUCCUGCUUGCAUGUUACUACCUGCUUCUUGGCACCCCGGGAAUGAGAACAGGGGGCUGCAUACUGGUCAGUUAAAUAGCCUUUGGUCUAAGUUGGACUGGAGGGAAAGCAACGUGAAUAACGGGCGGCACAGAAUAUGGGGCCCACUGAGGAGGUCGCGUCCCUCCCAAGGGUGUCCCCACACUCCCAAGACCUCUCCGUGGGCCCGAGGCUGAGCUACACUAAUGAGCUAAAUUCCGCUCUUCCAUUGUAUGUAGCCUGAUGUGUCUGCCUCCAUGAGCGUAUUCCCUAGGCUUGUCUCCCUGAUCUUGAGCCAGUGUCUCAUGGUUUUUUGUCUUUUUGGUUUUAUUAAUAUGAUUUUUUUCUAUUAUAGUUGAUUUACAGUGUUCUGUCAAUUUCUACUGCACAGCACAGUGACCCGUCACACACGUAUAUACGUAUUCUUUUUCUCACAUUAUCCUCCAUCAUGUUCCAUCACAAGUGACUAGAUGUAGUUCCCAGUGCUACACAGCAGGAUCUCUUUGCUUAUUCACUCCAAAGGCAAUAGUUUGCAUCUGUCAACCCCAGACUCCCAGUCCAUCCCACUCCCUCC
rnacentral:lncRNA from 1 species